rnacentral:scRNA from 1 species
GCUGCGAGGAUGUCGUUCUGGAUCUCGGUCAG